rnacentral:rRNA from 1 species
UAGGGAAUCUUCCGCAAUGGGCGAAAGCCUGACGGAGCAACGCCGCGUGAGUGAUGAAGGUCUUCGGAUCGUAAAACUCUGUUAUUAGGGAAGAACAAAUGUGUAAGUAACUAUGCACGUCUUGACGGUACCUAAUCAGAAAGCCACGGCUAACUACGUUCCAGCAGCCGCGGUAAUACGUAGGUGGCAAGCGUUAUCCGGAAUUAUUGGGCGUAAAGCGCGCGUAGGCGGUUUUUUAAGUCUGAUGUGAAAGCCCACGGCUCAACCGUGGAGGGUCAUUGGAAACUGGAAAACUUGAGUGCAGAAGUGGAAAGUGGAAUUCCAUGUGUAGCGGUUAAAUGCGCAGAGAUAUGGAGGAACACCAGUGGCGAAGGCGACUUUCUGGUCUGUAACUGACGCUGAUGUGCGAAAGCGUGGGGAUCAAACAG